CCCAGACUCCUACGGGAGGCAGCAGUGAGGAAUAUUGGUCAAUGGUCGGGAGACUGAACCAGCCAAGCCGCGUGAGGGAUGAAGGUACAGAGUAUCGUAAACCUCUUUUGUCAGGGAACAAAGGCGGGGACGCGUCCCCGGAUGAGUGUACCUGAAGAAAAAGCAUCGGCUAACUCCGUGCCAGCAGCCGCGGUAAUACGGAGGAUGCGAGCGUUAUCCGGAUUUAUUGGGUGUAAAGGGUGCGCAGGCGGCCGUGAAAGUCGGGGGUGAAGGGCGGGGGCCCAACCCCGGGCCGCCGUUGAAACUGGCAGUCUCGAGUUGGAGAGAAGUAUGCGGAAUGCGCGGUGUAGCGGUGAAAUGCAUAGAUAUCGCGCAGAACUCCGAUUGCGAAGGCAGCAUGCCGGCUCCACACUGACGCUGAGGCACGAAAGCGUGGGUAUCGAACAGGAUUAGAUACCCUAGUAU
rnacentral:rRNA from 1 species